CAGUAGCCACGGUAAUACGUAGGGUGCGAGCGUUAAUCGGAAUUACUGGGCGUAAAGCGUGCGCAGGCGGUUCGUUAAGACAGAUGUGAAAUCCCCGGGCUUAACCUGGGAACUGCAUUCGUGACUGGCGAGCUAGAGUAUGGCAGAGGGGGGUAGAAUUCCACGUGUAGCAGUGAAAUGCGUAGAGAUGUGGAGGAAUACCGAUGGCGAAGGCAGCCCCCUGGGCCAAUACUGACGCUCAUGCACGAAAGCGUGGGGAGCAAACAGGAUUAGAUACCCGCGUAGUCCCUGUCUCUUAUAC
rnacentral:rRNA from 1 species